GUCUACGGUCAUAUCACCCUGAACACGCCCGAUCUUGUCUGAUCUCGGAAGCUAAGCAGGGUCGGGCCUGGUUAGUACUUGGAUGGGAGAAAAGGCUUAAGUUGUCU
rnacentral:rRNA from 1 species